rnacentral:lncRNA from 10 species
UCUCAAGCUGAGGGAGCCGGCUCUGGCCUCCGCCAGCCCAGAAAGGGGCUUCCACAGUGCAGCGGCGGGCUCAAGAGCUCCUCAAGCGCGGCCAGAGUGGGCGCCUAGGCCGAGUAGGCGCCGAGAGCGAGGGAGGGCUGCGAGCGCUGCCAGCAUGCUGUCACCUCUCAGAAUGACUUACGAUCAAGGGGUUCCAGAACCAGUCCCUCACAAACACCAAGGAAUGACUGUAUACUCCUUCAGGUACCAUGAAAAGACACAGCCAUUAACAUAUGUGUUCAACUAAACACAGAGCAUUGACUUGAAACAGUACAUGAUCAGAAUGAAGACAAUACUAUAAGGAACUACAGGGAGAAACUAAUAUUGUCAGGGUGGAGAGGAUAAUGGAGAAAACAAAGAAGGAGGCAUUAUACCUAGGACUCCAGGGAGAGAAGGAAACAGGCAAAGGAGCACAUGAACAUGAAAGUUCUGGUGUGUUGACACACGGGUAAGUGAAAGGACAUUAGGUUAAAAAUAUAGUUAUGGGCCACAUUAUGAAAAUCCUUGAAUGUCAUGUUGAGGAAUUCAGACCUUAUCCUCCCUACAGUCAAAUUUGUGGGGGAUGGAUAGAAACAUGUAAAACUUUUACUAUAUUUUAUAUAUUCUAAGAUGUACAUUUUUCACUUUUUUACAAUUCUGCCAUUACAAUGCAUCUUUCAAUGGAUAGUUCUACAGUAGGAGUUGUGACAUAAUUGUCAUUGUCUACACUUGCAACUUAUAUUUUCCACCUUAUGCAUGCACAGGAAUGAUACAUAAUAAAAAUCUGACAAAAUAAGUCUAAAAGAGAUUACAAGUAUAAAAUGAAAAAGUCUAAGUGAUAAGAAUUAUUUUAUAGCUUAGUUGGUAGCACUUUUUUUCUGGUUUGGUGAUACAUAAAAUGAAUAUGUGGUAGAUUGCUUUAAAUAUGCACUGGUCAUAUUGUGAAAUGCUUAAACAGGGAAUGGCAUGAUCAAAUUUGUUUCCAAAGAAUAUUUCCUGUGAAAUGCUAGUGGAUAUACUGGAAAAGGGAGAUGUGAAGUCCAGUGACAAAGCUGAAAGCUAUUCUAAGUCUAGACAAGAAAAGAUGGGGUAUGAACUGUAGUCAUGGCAGUAGGGAUUCUAGCAAAAGAGUCAAGAUGCAUUUUAACAGUAUAGUUGAUAAGAAUCAGUGACCAUCUUGAUGUCAUCUGAUGAGGGAGAAGGACUUAACAGUAACUUCUUUAAGAUUUUAUGAUGUUGUUGUUUGUUUUUGUUUGUUUACUAUUGUCUGAAUUCUUUAUUCAUUGAAAUCAAAGUUCUGGUGUAGGGAGACAAUCUUGUAAAUAGUCAUGCUGUCAAAAAAAAAAAGGAAAUGAAAUGUCUUUCUCCCUCUGGUUUUGUCAACAGCCCAUUUUAUAAGAGCUGUCAUUUUGAUCGAUCCACAUAGUCUUUAUGACUUUGAGGAUGACCUGUGGCUAGCACUAAUAAUCUGACCCAUAAAACCACUCAUCCAGACAACCAGCUGAGCCACCAGCUUAAAUUUCCCAGGAGAUUGACCUUUGCACCAAAAUUACUGGGGAGACCUUUGGAACAUCUGUUUUAUUUCCAGGGUCAUUGGUAUUUAUUUGAGGAACUAAAGUCAUGAUCUUCAACAUCCAUAACUUUCUGACACCAAAUAAGCCUCCUGAUGGGGCCACAACAUGGACCAAAAAGGAAGGACAGCAUGCUCAGAGGAAUUUAGUUUUGGAAAACUGCUAUAGUCCUACACAUUUAAUAGCUGUCUUUAAGCAUGAUUAAAAUAAAGCACCAUAACCAACGUGUGAGAGUCUCUCUAAUGUUUAUUUUUUCUUUGGUGUGCUUUUAAUAAAAUCAAAAGGCAAGACUGAGAUCACUUAAAGAAGAGUUUGAUUUUUCAGGAAAACAAAGAGGUUGACUAGGAAUGGAAUGAUCCCCUAAAAGGCUCACAGAAUCUAAUUGCAUGGUGAUUAUCGCUUUUGGCAAAGAAAUCAUCUUAUUAACCACCUUGUAACUCCUAGGUAACUAGGACAUUGGAAUCCAGAACUCUCAAGAACAAAGCCUGUGUAACAUGAUGGAUCAUGCCAGUCUCCAGCCCACCUGAAUAAAUGUUAAUUCUCUGGAGUUAAAAAAAGAUUAAAUCAUUUACUUUUUAAUACAAGUUCAUAAAUUCAAAUGCAAGAGAUAUAUUGUAUUUAGAUGGACACACUUCACAGUAUACUGAAAAAACAUACAGGCUUAGCUUUGAAUCCUUCCCACUACCCCCACCCGCAUUUUGUUAGCUCUUUAACUAGAAACAUCUUAAUUUACCUAAA